GAAAACCCGCAGUAACCCGCGAAGUCUCGCAAACCCUAUCGCCAGUUUCGCGCCGCCGUCGAACGCAUCCCCCCGUCGCCGCCGCACUCCUCCACGCCUCCGUCUGUCUUCCCAGGAGCACACGCCCAGCCUCCCAGAGCGCAGAGCCUCCCGCCGCUCUUGCCCCAGCCGCCCGCUCGCGGCACCCACAGCCUCAAUCAUGCAGGUCGUCUCUGUCCUUCUCGUCAGCAUCUGAGGCCUCCAGUCCGAGGCAUCUUCCCUCCCCCCAAGAUUUGAAGAAAGGAUGUGGUUGAAGGAAGAAGAGGUUUUGCAGCUACUCUUUUUUUUUUACUUAAAACAUUGUCAGAUAUUGAGGUGUAUUGCUGAAAGAUGUUGUUGAUCUCAAAUGCUGUCAUCUAUCCGGAGUUGUAGUUUAAUUCAUUCGAAUAGAACCAUAUGAUGAUUCUGAGUGUUAAUGCCUUUCUAAAUCA